AGUGAACGCUGGCGGUAGGCCUAACACAUGCAAGUCGAACGGCAGCACAGGAGAGCUUGCUCUCUGGGUGGCGAGUGGCGGACGGGUGAGGAAUACAUCGGAAUCUACUCUGUCGUGGGGGAUAACGUAGGGAAACUUACGCUGAUACCGCAUACGACCUACGGGUGAAAGCAGGGGACCUUCGGGCCUUGCGCGAUUGAAUGAGCCGAUGUCGGAUUAGCUAGUUGGCGGGGUAAAGGCCCACCAAGGCGACGAUCCGUAGCUGGUCUGAGAGGAUGAUCAGCGACACUGGAGCUGAGACACGGUCCAGACUCCGACGGGAGGCAGCAGUGGGGAAUAUUGGACAAUGGGCGCAAGCCUGAUCCAGCCAUACCGCGUGGGUGAAGAAGGCCUUCGGGUUGUAAAGCCCUUUUGUUGGGAAAGAAAUCCAGCUGGCUAAUACCCGGUUGGGAUGACGGUACCCAAAGAAUAAGCACCGGCUAACUUCGUGCCAGCCGCCGCCGUAA
rnacentral:rRNA from 1 species